rnacentral:rRNA from 1 species
UACGAGAAGGCAGCUACACGGCGACGUGAUGCUAAUCCCUAAAGCCUCUCUCAGUUCGGAUUGGAGUCUGCAACCCGACUCCAUGAAGCUGGAUUCGCUAGUAAUCGCGCAUCAGCCACGGCGCGGUGAAUACCGGUUCCCGGGCCUUGUACACACCGCCCGUCAAGCCAUGAAAGCCGGGGGUACCUGAAGUGCGUAACCGCAAGGAGCGCCCUAGGGUAAAACUGGUGAUUGGGGCUAAGUCGUAACAAGGUAGC